CCUACGGGUGGCAGCAGUCGAGAAUCUUUCACAAUGGGCGAAAGCCUGAUGCAGCGACGCCGCGUGUGGGAAUGAAGUCCUUCGGAUUGUAAACCCCUGUCAUGUGGGAGCAAGUUAAAAGGAUAGUACCACAAUCGGAAGAGACGGCUAACUCUGUGCCAGCAGCCGCGGUAAUACGGAGGGGGCGAGCGCUAAGAGGAAUUACUGGCCGUAAAGGGAGUGCAUGCGGCUGAGCAAGACAGAUGUGAAAUCCCCGGGCUUAACCUGGGAACCGCAUAUGUAACUGGUUGGCUAGUGUGCGGCAGAGGGAGGUGGAAUUCCAGGUGUAGCAGUGAAAUGCGUAGAUAUGUGGAAGAACACCGAUGGCGAAGGCAGCCUCCUGGAAAGAAACUGACGCUCA
rnacentral:rRNA from 1 species